AACGCACCUUGCGCCCUUUGGUAUUCCGAAGGGCAUGCCUGUUUGAGUGUCGUGAAACUCUCAACCCCCUCGUUUUGUCAUGAAGCGGGCCGCGGGCUUGGACUGUGGUUGCUGCCGGCGCCUGUCAAAAGGAUCGGCUCGACUGAAAUAGAUUAGCGUGCCAUACACUUGGUAGCGGUAGCUCUUAUCUUUGCGUGAUAAUACAUUCGCCUAGAUUGCUACUUGCAUCACUCCGAUUGUACGGACGCCUUACAGUGCUGGACGAUGUGAAAACAUUGUUUCCUUUUACAAUCAUAGACCUCAGAUCAGGCAGGGCUACCCGCUGAACUUAA
rnacentral:misc_RNA from 1 species